rnacentral:rRNA from 1 species
UACGUAGGGCGCGAGCGUUAUCCGGAAUUAUUGGGCGUAAAGAGCUCGUAGGCGGUUUGUCACGUCUGCUGUGAAAACUGGAGGCUCAACCUCCAGCCUGCAGUGGGUACGGGCAGACUAGAGUGCGGUAGGGGAGAUUGGAAUUCCUGGUGUAGCGGUGGAAUGCGCAGAUAUCAGGAGGAACACCCGUGGCGAAGGCGGCUCUCUGGGACGGUACUGACGCUGAGACGCGAAAGCGUGGGGAGCGAACAGG